rnacentral:pre_miRNA from 13 species
ACACAUACAUGCAUAAUGCUUGAAAUUUUGCACACAUUUACAAUAUUUGUAAAUGUGUUGAAAAUCGUUUGCACAACUGUGA